rnacentral:sRNA from 1 species
AUGCUUGAGAUUGUUGUGUUGAGUCUCAAAGAAUCAAGGUCGGCCUUGACAUUGCAUAUUUGUCUCUACAGUGUUAAAUCCAGUGUUUUAUUUUGAUUCUACAUUCAUUUUGAUUUUACUUUUGACUUUCAUUCUACGUUCAUUUUGAUUGAGUUGUUUUGAGGAUUUUGCGGGAGGACUCCCUUUGGAAUUGCCGAAUGCUGUUGUUUGUCGGGUGGAUGCCUUGGAAGCAGAGUUAACUGCUACUAAAAAGCCGGUUUUGUAUUUAGCAUCAAUUAAUUGCUUUUUUUCUUGGUGACUACCUAAAUGUUUACACUUUUCAGUUUAACAGAAAAUGAUAAAUUGAGACAAACUUGGAACCUAAUAAAUCAAUAUUAGCGCAAGCCCAUAAACUUAUUUCGUGACUAUCACAAUAUUCUUUCAAUACUCUACGUUUUGCUUACAAUUUUGUUCUCUCUAGGACGUUAAAGUGCAUUUUUUGUUUUUAAGUGUCGCUGCCAAAUACCAACUGUUUGAUUGUGUUUUCUAACCUCUUUUUUCUCAAUAAUGUUAAUGUUUUGUGAUACCAUUUUUACAUCUUUCAAACACAACGUUUAAUACAAUUUUCAAAUCCAAUCAUUUCGAGCUCGGAUUCAGCCAGCCUGUGGUAAGCCUUUAUUUUUGGAUUGCUUUCAUUUGUUUAUAUGUGAAUCAAUAAUUUUUUUGCAAAUAAUGAAUGUCGCAAUUGCUGAUAUUCUUUGUUUAAAAACUUGAACUGUAGAUCUUUGCAAAAUAUCCAUAUAUGGAUCAGUGCCAUGGACUCUUCUCAACCUAUGGACCUCAAGAUCUCACACAAUUGGUGCGGCUCGAAUGGAUCUGUACCAGAGCCUCUUGUGCAGCAGUAUGGUGGCUCUGCAGCUCACAACACUAAAUUACAAAGGAGCUUAUUUGUUGGAGAUUUGAAGAGUAAAACUUAGCGGCGCUGUACCGCUGGAAGUGGUAAUUGCUAAUCAGGGAUAGAGUGAGCGAAUCACAAGUCAACCAAGUCUUGAAUGAUGAAUUGAGCCAGAUCAUUGAGGUCUCUUUGCCAAGUUAAAUUUUCAUUCUACUUUUUAUUUGUAAUGCUCAGUUCUUCACUCAAACAUUGUUUAUGAAGUGAAUGAAUUUGCAUAUGUUUGAAUAAAUUUCCAAUCCCGCAGCAACGCGCGGGCACCGUUGCUAGU